UUUAAAAAAACAACAACUAGCCUAGCUUUCCAGCUAGCGAGUGUUUGCUAGCUAAGUUGCUAGCGCACACAAGAGGUGGGGGAUGGGCAGGAGGUAGCCGGCUAAAGUUACGUUUUUAACGAUCUCCCGUCUUCAUUAAUCUGCCCGAGCUAGCACUAAACUAAGUAUCGAUGUUUCAGUUCAUCCAGCCGUAACGACGCUUACGGUAUUUAAAAAAUGUACAUCACAUUUUAAACCGAUUUGCUGUUAGUCGAAGGUAAGGUUUUCUCCAAGAAAAAGCUAGCGCUAGCUUAGCCGACGUCGUUAGCCAACUUCUAGGACUAGAGCCAAGUGUUGCCUUCGUUACGAAACCUGGCACGGCUAGCCCGUCUUCAUCGUCAUUUCGACAUCAGCCUGUCUUGGAGACUCGUUUUCUAUACGUUUGAGCGAUAUUCCUGAUUUGGCAAAAUGGCUAGACUACCAAAAACGCAGUCAACAAGCUAGCUUUAGCUAACGUCGAAUAACCACGUCGAUCAAUGGCUUAUGGCCACAGAUUCAGAAGGCCGUCAAGUCAGUGGCCUUGGCUCAUAAAUGUAUCCCUGCAUCGCAAAAGGAAAGUGCGAAAGUAAAUUGAGUACUCAGAGUUGCGAUUGUAGUCUAUUUUAGCUACAGACGUUCUCAGCGUUAGCUAGGCUAGCUAACUAGCAAUCAACAACAGGAACACAAUCAUCGACGUUAAACAAGGCCAGUCGAGACCGGUUGUUCACGAGGUGUAGGCCCCGCUCUCCAGCCAGGACAGACUUCGUCUAGCUACUAGUAGCUUCUCAUAUUUGGUCAUCAAGCUGGUUGCUUCCGCUUAUUUGUAUAGCAGGACAAUUAUAAGUGCUUCAAAUAAUACAUAAAUGGCAUCAAUUCCAGACCUCUAAAAACGUAUUAAAUACCAUUUACAAAGCGUUACAUAAAAAAAUAAAAUAAGAACAGGAGUGUUGAACGAGAGCAGUGUAAGAAAUUAAACGGAAACC